UGGGGAAUCUUGGACAAUGGGCGCAAGCCUGAUCCAGCCAUGCCGCGUGAGUGACGAAGGCCUUAGGGUUGUAAAGCUCUUUUGCCGGGGACGAUAAUGACGGUACCCGGAGAAUAAGUCCCGGCUAACUUCGUGCCAGCAGCCGCGGUAAUACGAAGGGGACUAGCGUUGUUCGGAAUUACUGGGCGUAAAGCGCACGUAGGCGGAUUUGUCAGUCAGGGGUGAAAUCCCGGGGCUCAACCUCGGAACUGCCUUUGAUACAGCAAGUCUUGAGUCCGAUAGAGGUGAGUGGAAUUCCUAGUGUAGAGGUGAAAUUCGUAGAUAUUAGGAAGAACACCGGUGGCGAAGGCGGCUCACUGGAUCGGUACUGACGCUGAGGUGCGAAAGCGUGGGGAGCAAACAGGAUUAGAUACCCCCGUAGUCCCUGAGCGGGCUGGCAAGGCGCAU
rnacentral:rRNA from 1 species